GAUGAACGCUAGCUACAGGCUUAACACAUGCAAGGCGAGGGGAAACGAUAUUGGAAGCUUGCUUCCGAUAGGCGUCGACCGGCGCACGGGUGAGUAACGCGUAUCCAACCUGCCCACCACUUGGGGAUAACCUUGCGAAAGUAAGACUAAUACCCAAUGACGUCUCUAGAAGACAUCUGAAAGAGAUUAAAGAUUUAUCGGUGAUGUAUGGGGAUGCGCCUGAUUAGCUUGUUGGCGGGGUAACGGCCCACCAAGGCGACGAUCAGUAGGGGUUCUGAGUGGAAGGUCCCCCACAUUGGAACCGAGACACGGUCCAAAAUCCUACGGGAGGCAGCAGUGAGGAAUAUUGGUCAAUGGGCGAGAGCCUGAACCAGCCAAGUAGCGUGCAGGAUGACGGCCCUAUGGGUUGUAAACUGCUUUUAUAAGGGAAUAAAGUGAGUCUCGUGAGACUUUUUGCAUGUACCUUAUGAAUAAGGACCGGCUAAUUCCGUGCCAGCAGCCGCCGGUAA
rnacentral:rRNA from 1 species